rnacentral:tRNA from 1 species
GGUGGGUUAGCUCAAUGGUUAGAGCCUGGGCCUUGUGACCGGAAGGUCCCUGGUUCGAAUGUCGCAACA